CUCACCCAUCAUACAUAAACCAUGGCCUCAUCAAAACCUAUGAUCAUUGCUGAGAAAACGUUCCAUCUUCAAAAUUUCAGGAAAAUCCGCCACAUUAUAGAAGAGCAAGGAUGGGAAGAAUAUCUUAGUUCUCUAGAGGGACCCAUCUAUCCGCAACUUGUAAAAGAAUUCUGGAAGAAUGCAUCUAUCAAAAGAAAGAAAUCCCAUUCCUUCAUCAAGUCUAAGGUUAUUGGUGUUCCAGUCACCAUUACUCCUAAAUGUAUUGCCAAAGUCAUCAAAUGCAGUGAAGAAGGCAUCGAUAUCGAGAAGUACCUAUAUUGCAACGACCUUCGACCAAAAGUAUUAAGAAAACUAUAUGAUUUCUCUGGAGGCCGAACAGAAACCAAAGAUCUCAAACCUAUUGUUCAACAACUGUUUCAAAUUCAGGUAUGUAACUUCAUGCCAAAAGAAGGCACACACCCCACCCUAACAAUAGACAGGGUUUUCCUAUUCUUUUUAUUAAGAAAAUACAAGAUCAACCUACCCCUCACAAUCUUCAACCAUAUGAAGUCUUGUAUCGAACUAUCAAAACAAGGAAAUAUAGACUUCAUACCCUAUGGAAGGGUCAUAACCAUGCUCAUCACUCAUCUAGAAGUCGUCAAGAAAACAAGAUAUAGACACCUUACCGAAUAUCUUGCACCUUCCUGGACUUCCCCUCUUAAAUUAGAUGAAGAGCGAAUGGACAUGUCAUGGUCAAGAAAAACUCCAUCUCCCUAAAAACCUUACCACCCUCAACCUUAGGAUCACCACCAUCAUUCCCACCCUUCAUUUUCUUGUUAAUCAUAUUCCCCUACAUUCUAGGAUUAGAUUUUGCAUUAUGUAUUUUCCUUUUCCUUUUAUCAAUCAAUAAAUUUUAUUUUCCUUUUUUAUUUUUC
rnacentral:lncRNA from 1 species